rnacentral:rRNA from 1 species
UAUUGGACAAUGGGCGAAAGCCUGAUCCAGCCAUGCCGCGUGUGUGAAGAAGGUCUUCGGAUUGUAAAGCACUUUAAGUUGGGAGGAAGGGCAGUAAGCGAAUACCUUGCUGUUUUGACGUUACCGACAGAAUAAGCCCCGGCUAACUACGUCCCAGCAGCCGCGGUAAUACGUAGGGGGCAAGCGUUGUUCGGAUUUACUGGGCGUAAAGGGCGCGUAGGCGGCAUGACAAGUCACUUGUGAAAUCUCCGGGCUUAACUCGGAACGGCCAAGUGAUACUGUUGAGCUAGAGUGCAGAAGGGGCAAUCGGAAUUCUUGGUGUAGCGGUGAAAUGCGUAGAUAUCAAGAGGAACACCUGAGGUGAAGACGGGUUGCUGGGCUGACACUGACGCUGAGGCGCGAAAGCUAGGGUAGCAAAC